AAGGGUGCGUAACACGUGGGGAAUCUGCCGAGAAGUGGGGGAUAGCUCGUCGAAAGGCGAAUUAAUACCGCAUGUGGUUAGGGAAGACAUCUUUCCGAUACCAAAGCCGGGGCAACCUGGCGCUUCUUGAUGACCCCGCGGCCUAUCAGCUAGUUGGUGAGGUAACGGCUCACCAAGGCUAUGACGGGUAGCUGGUCUGAGAGGACGACCAGCCACACUGGAACUGAGACACGGUCCAGACACCUACGGGUGGCAGCAGUCGAGAAUUUUUCUCAAUGGGGGAAACCCUGAAGGAGCGACGCCGCGUGGAGGAUGAAGGUCUUCGGAUUGUAAACUCCUGUCAUUUGGGAACAAUGUGCAGUCGUUAACUGCGAUUGCAUUGAUAGUACCAGAAGAGGAAGAGACGGCUAACUCUGUGCCAGCAGCCGCGGUAAUACAGAGGUCUCAAGCGUUGUUCGGAUUCAUUGGGCGUAAAGGGUGCGUAGGUGGCGCCAUAAGUCAGGUGUGAAAUCUCGGGGCUCAACCCCGAAACUGCACUUGAUACUGUGGUGCUCGAGUACUGGAGAGGAGAUUGGAAU
rnacentral:rRNA from 1 species